rnacentral:rRNA from 1 species
UACGUAGGAUGCAAGCGUUGUCCGGAAUUAUUGGGCGUAAAGAGAACGUAGGUGGUUUUCUAAGUUUGGUCUUAAAGACCGGGGCUUAACUCCGGGAAUGGAUCGAAAACUGGGAGACUAGAGGAUGUCAGAGGAAAGUGGAAUUCCGAGUGUAGCGGUGAAAUGCGUAGAUAUUCGGAGGAACACCAGUGGCGAAGGCGGCUCACUGGUCCGGUACUGACGCUGAGGUGCGAAAGCGUGGGGAGCAAACAGG